UACGUAGGGUGCAAGCGUUGUCCGGAAUUAUUGGGCGUAAAGAGCUCGUAGGCGGUUUGUUGCGUCGGCUGUGAAAUCCCGAGGCUCAACCUCGGGUCUGCAGUCGAUACGAGCAAACUAGAGUGUUGCAGGGGAGACUGGAAUUCCUGGUGUAGCGGUGAAAUGCGCAGAUAUCAGGAGGAACACCGGUGGCGAAGGCGGGUCUCUGGCCCGGUACUGACGCUGGAGGUGCGGAAAGCCGUUGGGGGAGCAAACAGG
rnacentral:rRNA from 1 species